rnacentral:tRNA from 1 species
CGGGGCGUAGCGCAGUCUGGUAGCGCAUCUGCUUUGGGAGCAGAGGGUCGGGGGUUCAAAUCCCUCCGCCCCGACCA